rnacentral:hammerhead_ribozyme from 2 species
UGCCGAAACGCCGACUCGGGUCGGCGUCCCUGGGAGGUGGCAUUCUCAGGCUGAUGAUGGCUGCCGCAG